rnacentral:rRNA from 1 species
GACGAACGCUGGCGGCGUGCUUAACACAUGCAAGUCGUACGGUAAGGCCUUUUCGGGGGCACACGAGUCGCGAACGGGAGUGUAACACGUGUGUUAUCUGCCCCACACCUUGGGAAAACGCUAGGAAACUGGCGAUUAUACUGGAUAUGUGCCUCUGCCGUAUUGUGGGGGUUGGAGAGUUAUGGCGGCUGUGGGUGGGCUCGCGGCCUCUCCGCUUUGUUGUGGGGUAGUGGCCUACCAAGGCGGAGGCGGGGACGCGGCCGGAGAGGGUGGACGGCCACAAUUGGGCUGAGGAACGGGCCAGGCUCCUACGGGGGGCAACAGGUGGGAAUAUUUCACAAAGGGCGCAAGCCUGGAGCAACAACGCCGCGGGCGGGAUGACGGGCUUCGGGUUGUAAACCGCUUUCAGCAGGGACGGAGCUGUUAGUGACGGUACCUGCAGAAGAAGCACCGGCUAACUACGUG